AGAAUGAACUUUUCUCCAGGGUCAGUGAUUGUGAUAUUCUUAAUGUUUGGAAGAAGCAAUGGAGACUCAGUGACCCAAACAAAAGGUCAGGUAACCCUCUCAGAAGGGGCUUCGCUGACUGUGAACUGCUCCUAUGAAACCACACAGUACCCUGCACUUUUAUGGUAUGUCCAAUAUCCCAGAAAAGGUCCACAGCUCCUCCUGAGAGCCUCAAAGGCCAACGAUAAGGAUCGCAACAAGGGUUUUGAAGCCACAUACAAUACAGAGACCACCUCCUUCCACUUGGAGAAAGCCUCAGUCCAAGAGUCAGACUCGGCCAUGUACUACUGUGCUCUGAGUGACACAGUGACAGGAACCGCAGAAAGAGCUGAACAUAAACUCUGA